GGAUGUGAGGGCGAUCUGGCUGCGACAUCUGUCACCCCAUUGAUCGCCAGGGUUGAUUCGGCUGAUCUGGCUGGCUAGGCGGGUGUCCCCUUCCUCCCUCACCGCUCCAUGUGCGUCCCUCCCGAAGCUGCGCGCUCGGUGGAAGAGGACGACGUCCCAGGUAUAGAAGGAGUGUACCGAGGUCUCCAGUCUUCGGUCCCGGGUAUACGAUAGCUGCGCUCCCCUGCUAGAACCUCCAAACAAAAACGUGUGGAUUAUUGAUGUCGCCAUACCAGGUGACAGUCUAAUUAAUGAAAAACAACAGGAAAAACUCAGCUAUUAU
rnacentral:snRNA from 1 species